rnacentral:rRNA from 1 species
AAAAAAGGUAAGCUACUAAGAGCGAAUGGUGGAUGCCUUGACUGGUAAAGGCGAUGAAGGACGUACUAGACUGCGAUAAGCUACGGGGAGCUGUCAAGAAGCUUUGAUCCGUAGAUUUCCGAAUGGGGCAACCCAAUGUAUAGAGAUAUACAUUACCUAUAUAGGAGCGAACGAGGGGAAUUGAAACAUCUUAGUACCCUCAGGAAAAGAAAUCAAUAGAGAUUGCGUCAGUAGCGGCGAGCGAAAGCGCAAGAGGGCAAACCCAGUGCUUGCGCUGGGGGUUGUAGGACUGCAAUGUGCAAGAGGUAAGUUUAGCAGAACAUUCUGGAAAGUAUAACCAUAGAGGGUGAUAGUCCCGUAUGCGAAAAACAAACCUUAGCUAGCAGUAUCCUGAGUAGGGCGGGACACGAGGAAUCCUGUCUGAAUCCGGGUCGACCACGAUCCAACCCUAAAUACUAAUACCAGAUCGAUAGUGCACAAGUACCGUGAGGGAAAGGUGAAAAGAACUGAGGUGAUCAGAGUGAAAUAGAACCUGAAACCAUUUGCUUACAAUCAUUCAGAGCCCUAUGUAGCAAUACAGGGUGAUGGACUGCCUUUUGCAUAAUGAGCCUGCGAGUUGUGGUGUCUGGCAAGGUUAAGCAAACGCGAAGCCGUAGCGAAAGCGAGUCUGAAUAGGGCGCUUAGUCAGAUGCUGCAGACCCGAAACGAAGUGAUCUAUCCAUGAGCAAGUUGAAGCUAGUGUAAGAACUAGUGGAGGACUGAACCCAUAGGCGUUGAAAAGCCCCGGGAUGACUUGUGGAUAGGGGUGAAAGGCCAAUCAAACUUCGUGAUAGCUGGUUCUCUCCGAAAUAUAUUUAGGUAUAGCGUUGUGUCGUAAUAUAAGGGGGUAGAGCACUGAAUGGGCUAGGGCAUACACCAAUGUACCAAACCCUAUCAAACUCCGAAUACCUUAUAUGUAAUCACAGCAGUCAGGCGGCGAGUGAUAAAAUCCGUCGUCAAGAGGGAAACAACCCAGACUACCAGCUAAGGUCCCUAAAUCUUACUUAAGUGGAAAACGAUGUGAAGUUACUUAAACAACCAGGAGGUUGGCUUAGAAGCAGCCAUCCUUUAAAGAAAGCGUAAUAGCUCACUGGUCUAGUGAUUUUGCGCGGAAAAUAUAACGGGGCUAAAGUAAGUACCGAAGCUGUAGACUUGCACACAACUUAGAUUAUUUAAGUUUAGAAUAUGAGAAACUAAGUUAUAUGUUUAGUUAUAUUUUUACUGAUUUUUAUAGAGUAAAGAUAGAAAUAAAACUUAGUAAAAUCAGUAAAAAUAUUCUUAGACUAAAGUUAAGUAGUUUAAGUUGUGUGCAAGUGGUAGGAGAGCGUUCUAUUUGCGUCGAAGGUAUACCGGUAAGGAGUGCUGGAGCGAAUAGAAGUGAGCAUGCAGGCAUGAGUAGCGAUAAUUAAUGUGAGAAUCAUUAACGCCGUAAACCCAAGGUUUCCUACGCGAUGCUCGUCAUCGUAGGGUUAGUCGGGUCCUAAGUCGAGUCCGAAAGGGGUAGACGAUGGCAAAUUGGUUAAUAUUCCAAUACCAACAUUAGUGUGCGAUGGAAGGACGCUUAGGGCUAAGGGGGCUAGCGGAUGGAAGUGCUAGUCUAAGGUCGUAGGAGGUUAUACAGGCAAAUCCGUAUAACAAUACUCCGAGAACUGAAAGGCUUUUUGAAGUCUUCGGAUGGAUAGAAGAACCCCUGAUGCCGUCGAGCCAAGAAAAGUUUCUAAGUUUAGCUAAUGUUGCCCGUACCGUAAACCGACACAGGUGGGUGGGAUGAGUAUUCUAAGGCGCGUGGAAGAACUCUCUUUAAGGAACUCUGCAAAAUAGCACCGUAUCUUCGGUAUAAGGUGUGGUUAGCUUUGUAUUAGGAUUUACUCCGAAAGCAAGGAAACUUACAACAAAGAGUCCCUCCCGACUGUUUACCAAAAACACAGCACUCUGCUAACUCGUAAGAGGAUGUAUAGGGUGUGACGCCUGCCCGGUGCUCGAAGGUUAAUUGAUGGGGUUAGCAUUAGCGAAGCUCUUGAUCGAAGCCCGAGUAAACGGCGGCCGUAACUAUAACGGUCCUAAGGUAGCGAAAUUCCUUGUCGGUUAAAUACCGACCUGCAUGAAUGGCGUAACGAGAUGGGAGCUGUCUCAAAGAGGGAUCCAGUGAAAUUGUAGUGGAGGUGAAAAUUCCUCCUACCCGCGGCAAGACGGAAAGACCCCGUGGACCUUUACUACAGCUUGACACUGCUACUUGGAUAAGAAUGUGCAGGAUAGGUGGGAGGCUUUGAGUAUAUGACGCCAGUUGUAUAUGAGCCAUUGUUGAGAUACCACUCUUUCUUAUUUGGGUAGCUAACCAGCUUGAGUUAUCCUCAAGUGGGACAAUGUCUGGUGGGUAGUUUGACUGGGGCGGUCGCCUCCCAAAUAAUAACGGAGGCUUACAAAGGUUGGCUCAGAACGGUUGGAAAUCGUUCGUAGAGUAUAAAGGUAUAAGCCAGCUUAACUGCAAGACAUACAAGUCAAGCAGAGACGAAAGUCGGUCUUAGUGAUCCGGUGGUUCUGUGUGGAAGGGCCAUCGCUCAAAGGAUAAAAGGUACCCCGGGGAUAACAGGCUGAUCUCCCCCAAGAGCUCACAUCGACGGGGAGGUUUGGCACCUCGAUGUCGGCUCAUCGCAUCCUGGGGCUGGAGCAGGUCCCAAGGGUAUGGCUGUUCGCCAUUUAAAGCGGUACGCGAGCUGGGUUCAGAACGUCGUGAGACAGUUCGGUCCCUAUCUGCCGUGGGCGUAAGAAGAUUGAAGAGAUUUGACCCUAGUACGAGAGGACCGGGUUGAACAAACCACUGGUGUAGCUGUUGUUCUGCCAAGAGCAUCGCAGCGUAGCUAAGUUUGGAAAGGAUAAACGCUGAAAGCAUCUAAGCGUGAAGCCAACUCUAAGAUGAAUCUUCUCUAAGCUCUCUAGAAGACUACUAGUUUGAUAGGCUGGGUGUGUAAUGGAUGAAAGUCCUUUAGCUGACCAGUACUAAUAGAGCGUUUGGCUUAUCUUUAAUAAAGCAU